rnacentral:rRNA from 1 species
AAAAGAACUUUGAAGAGAGAGUUCAAGAGGACGUGAAACCAUCGGUGGCGAAGCGGAUAGAGUUGAUGAAGCCGGUGGCAUUCCUCAGGGUGCAAGCAUUUUCAUGUUUUCACUUUGUUCAUUUGCCUGCGGCAGACGCUGAGGUGUUCGGUUGCCCCUUCUGAAGCGCACGAUGUUGCCCACCCUCGGGUGGUGUCUUGUCGUGUGUGGAGGUUGUUUGUGGUGUCUGAAUAUGCGAAAGCGCAGGCCCUGCCUUUGCGCGAUUGGCUGCUAGCGUGCGUUCGGUUGUGGCGGUGGCUUGCCACCUGUUGCUUCUGUGGCGUUCGUUUGGUGGUCCGUUGCCAUUGGGUCUGUUCUCGGUGUGGAAAGUCGACCACCUAUCCGACCCGUCUUGAAACACGGACCAAGAAGUGUAGUAUUUGCGCGAGUCAUUGGGUGCAAAACCUAUUGGCGUAAUGAAAGUAAAGCUGGCUUUGCGUCAGUGAUAUGUGAUCCGUGUGCCCUUGGGUGUGCGGCGCAACAUAGCCCCAUGCCGGCUGCUUGCAGCGGUGUGGAGGUAGAGCGUAAAUACUGCGACCCGAAAGAUGGUGAACUAUGCCCGAGCAGGAUGAAGCCAGAGGAAACUCUGGUGGAAGUCCGAAGCGGUUCUGACGUGCAAAUCGAUCGUCUGACUUGGGUAUAGGGGCGAAAGACUAAUCGAACCAUC